UACGUAGGGUGCAAGCGUUGUCCGGAAUUAUUGGGCGUAAAGAGCUCGUAGGCGGCUCGUCGCGUCGGCUGUGAAAACCUGGGGCUCAACCUCGGGUCGUGCAGUCGAUACGAGCAAACUAGAGUGUUGCAGGGGAGACUGGAAUUCCUGGUGUAGCGGUGAAAUGCGCAGAUAUCAGGAGGAACACCGGUGGCGAAGGCGGUUCUCUGGGCAUGUCCUGACGCUGAGGAGCGAAAGUGUGGGGAGCGAACAGG
rnacentral:rRNA from 1 species